rnacentral:rRNA from 1 species
AUUGAACGCUGGCGGCAAGCCUAACACAUGCAAGUCGAACGAGUGGCGGACGGGUGAGUAAUGUCUGGGCAACUGCGUGAGGGAGGGGGACAACUACUGGAAACGGUAGCCAAUACCGCAUACCAGCGGAUGUGCCCAGAUGGGAUUAGCUAGUAGGUGGGGUAAAGGCUCACCUAGGCGACGAUCCCUAGCUGGUCUGAGAGGAUGACCAGCCACACUGGAACUGAGACACGGUCCAGACUCCUACGGGAGGCAGCAGGGGGGAAUAUUGCACAAUGGGCGCAAGCCUGAUGCAGCCAUGCCGCGUGUAUGAAGAAGGCCUUCGGAUUGUAAAGUACUUUCAGCUGGGAGGCGUUACCCGCAGAAGAAGCACCGGCUAACUCCGUGCCAGCAGCCGCGGUAAUUC